CUAAUACAUGCAAGUCCAACGGUAACUGGGCAGAACUUCGGUUCAGCCGCUGACGAGUGGCGCACGGGUGAGUAACGCGUACAUAACCUGCCUUCAAGAGAGGGGAGCCCUGGGAAACUGGGAUAAAUACCUCAUGGUAUUGCUAAGUCGCAUGGCUGUGCAAUUAAAGUUUCGGCGCUUGAAGAUGGAUGUGCGUGCCAUUAGCUAGUUGGUAAGGUAACGGCUUACCAAGGCAACGAUGGCUAGGGGGCGCGAGAGGGUGACCCCCCACACGGGUACUGAGACACGGACCCGACUCCUACGUUAUGCAGCAGUAAGGAAUAUUGGACAAUGGAGGCAACUCUGAUCCAGCCAAUCCCGCGUGCAGGAUGACUGCCCUACGGGUUGUAAACUGCUUUUAUUUGGGAAGAAACCUGUUUAUUUACUGAACAGUUGACGGUACCUUAUGAAUAAGCACCGGCUAACUCCGUGCCAGCAGCCGCGGUAAUACGGAGGGUGCAAGCGUUAUCCGGAAUCACUGGGUUUAAAAGGGAGCGUAGGCGGCAUGAUAAGUCAGAGGUGCAAAGGCUGUAGCUUACCUAUGGAAUUGCCUUUGAUACUUGUUGUGCUUGAAUCGAAGUGAGGUCAGCAGAAGGUGACAUGCAGCGGUGAAAUGCAUAGAUAUGUCAUAGAAUACCAAUUGUGAAGACAGCUGGCUGGACUUGUAUUGACGCUGAGGCUCGAAAGGCGUGGGGGCAACAGGAUUAGAUAC
rnacentral:rRNA from 1 species